AUGAAUUUGAAUUCAGGCCAUGGCAAGUAAGAUCAAACGUGUUCUUCAGCUUGUUCUUCAUCAAGAACACAAGCAGAUUUUCCAGAAAUCGUGAAGAACUUUUCUCAACCAAAUGCAACAAAUCAUACAUCACUGUGACCGUCUAAACAUGUACAUCAUGGAUAUGGAUUCAGUUUCUCCUAAUUCUAAACCUAUCAACCGGAUCGAGCAAAAGAAUUUUCUACAUCAAAUGUUCAAAUCAAG
rnacentral:lncRNA from 1 species